rnacentral:lncRNA from 1 species
AGGGUAAAAAUAUAACCUAAUACAAUUUUAUCAUUUCAAUCCGACUAAAAACUGGAAUCAAUAUUUUAUAGAUUUUCAGUCCGAUUCUCCAUAAAUGAGCUAUUAGUCCUUAAUAUUUUAUAAAUACUUAAGGAUAGUUUUCAUAACCUUCCAAAUCUUUAUGAAAAAUAGAGAUGACAAUCAAAGUUUUAUUCCCUAUAAUAUAGGGAUGUCAUUUUCAAUUAAGAAAAUUUUAUCUACAAACAAUACAAAGAAUAAUAUUAUAG